GAGGGUAAAACUCAGUGAUAGAGUGCUUGCGUAGCGAGCAUGAGGUUCUGGGUUCGAUCCCCAGUACCAACG
rnacentral:tRNA from 1 species